GGAACUCUCGGUGGGUGGGGACCAGUGGCGAACAAGAGGAAGUGGGCGGGCGGAGGAUGCAGAAUUGCCCUCCCAGGCAACCCAAAAGGCUCUGCCAGGGUGGGACCGCCGAGGUUUGCAUGACGCCAGAAUGCUUCCUUCUUGGACUAAGGCUGCUUAACUCGCUGUACCUUCCCUACCUAGUCUCUUACUAGAUCCAGACACCUUGUCUUCCUUGGAAGGAACCAGAAAGGAGGUCCAAGGCCUGCUGGGAUGGGUGUAAGACGGGGCGUUUGGCUGUGCAUUUCUCCCUCUAUUUGGGGGGCUCAGAUCAAGAAACAGUCGCCUCCCCAGCUCUUCCCUCCCUCGUUACUUUCCCAGAACUGCUAUAACCAGAUACGACAAACUAGGGAGCCUGAAGUAACGUUAUCAUUCCAUACGUCUGGGGGUUAGAAGUCAGAAUUCCAGUGGGGCUUCGAGUCUGGGUGUGACCCCUCCCUACCUCCUCCUGGCUUCUGGCAACUGGUUGCUGUCAAUCAUUUGGUGUCCCUUAGCUUGCAGCUGAGUAGCAACCCCACUGCUCUCUCCACCUUUACACGGCGCUGUCCCUUGUGAAUCCGUGUUAAAAUCCCCCGCCUCUUGUAAGAUACCCACCACGUUGGAUUAGGCGUCACCUUCACCCUCAAGCUCUAACUUGAUUACAUCUUCGAAGAUUAAUUCCCGGAUCACAUUUUCAUGUUGUAGGGAUCAGGUCUUCACCACAGCUUUUGGGAGGACACAGCUCAGCUUAAAAUCCCAGCCUGGUUUCAAACUCCUCACGCAGCCAAGGAGGAUUGUGAAUUGGUGCUUCUCCUGUCUCUACCUCCUGAGUGCUGGGAUUGCAGGCAUGUGUCACUAGGCCAGAUUCCGUGGUGCUGGGGUCAAACCCAGGGAUCUGUGUCUGCUCGACGAGCAUUCUGGCAACUGAGCAAUAUUCCCAGCCCCUCUUUAGGAUUCUUUAAACCACCUGAAAUGUCAUAUCUCAGGAAACAGUCCAAGAAGUAGGCAUGCCCCCUCCUGAGGGUCCCCACCCACCACCACCAAAUCCCAAAUGGAAGGGAGCCAGAGUCUCCUCUGCUCUCCUACUGUCCUGGCCUCACCAGAUGCCGCAUGAUGUGGGAGCAAACAGGAUGUCAUCAUCACAGCCGUGGUCCACGGAGAGGUGACCCUGAGCCAAGCCUGAGCUCACCAACACCGGAAGAGCGACCUGUCACGCCCGCCCGUCUCACGGAUGAGGAAAGUGGAGGGUGAGCACAUCCAGAGAAGGACCUCACGAAGAUUACCAACCUCCUCUCACAGGACGUCCACGAGUCACAAUAAAAACACAGCGGCCUACGGAGUGCCAUCAGAAGCCAGACGACACUGGCUUGUUUUUUCAUUUAGCCCCUUUGGAAACCCCUUGUUUCCUUUUUGCUUUUCUGAGUCAGGGUCUCAUGAGAUCCAGUCUUGCCUUAAACUCCUGAAGCAGCCAACAAUGACUUUGAAAUCCCAAUUCUCCUGCCUCUGCCUCUGAAUGCUGGAGUUACGGGCGUGCGCCACCGCACGGGGCUCUGUUUCUGUCUUUCAGAAAGUGACAUAGGGGUCCAAAGAAGUAAAGGGACUGAACUAACAGCUCAUAGACCUCGGGGCUAGGCGUCCCCCGCCACAGUCUGUGCAGAGAGGGCACCAGCAGGGGUUCCUGUGGCCGUGGGCUGCUCAGGGACCACGAAAGAAGCCAUAUCACGCCGGGCCAGCUGCAUGCGCGCCCACUCUGUGAGGUCAGCACACAGCAGGCUCUCACUGUUCCUGGCCACACGCUGGCAUGCAGAGGCCUCCGGUGUAGCCUUCCAUAAUGGUCACCUGAUCCCAGAGCCGGUGGGCACGAGGCCUGAAAUGUUUUUGCUCUGACGACCAACUGGCCUGACAGACAGACAGGCAGGUGAUUAGAGGAGACAGAGCAGGGCAUGGGGGGAGGGUUGGGAUGAAGGAAUCCCCUCUCUCCCGGAAUCACUGAUCGCCUGGCUGGGGCCUCUUGAGUGACAGUGACAUUCUCCAGGGAUUAAGCAUGGAGUGUGGAAGCCGGGUCUCCCCAGGGGGUGCAGAGCCCCAUGGAACUUAAAUCAUGCAAUUAGCCUGCAGCUAAUAUUUCUCCCACAUGCACGCCAUGCCUCCCUCACCACCCGUGAGAAAGUCAGUAGUGACUGGCUUUUAACCCAAAGCUGUAUGGGGUCCUGCCUUGAGUUUCUUCUAAACAGAAAAUGAGAGAACACCUUUUCUGGCUCAUCCAGGCCUGCCUCAAAACGCUUUCCUCCAGAGGGAGCCAGGUCCAGACAAGCCUGCACUCUGCUGCUCGAGUCACUGGGAUUCUGGACCCAGCCUGUACUGGGUUUGUGGCCAGGUCCCCAUCAAGCGACAGAGGGAAGCACUGUACCCCUGCUUGAGACAAUGGUGCUUUGGGAGGAGGCAGAGAUACCGACAUCACUGGUGUGGGGUAACUUUGUUUCUGUUGUAGACGUGGGGUGUGCACAGUGCUCUAGAACCCGGGUUUCUGGACUCCCAACCCACAGCCUCUUUGACCACAAUAAAGUACCUGCCACAGGCUUGUCAGAGGACAAAGGGUCUGGCCGGUAAAUUCCCAGCCAAUGAGAUGGAGGCGAAGCUCUCUUGGGCAGCCAAUGAGAGAUGUCCUCUGAGUUGUUAGGCAGAAAAGAGCCUAACUUGGGUCAUGUCCUCACCGGUCCUCAGCUAAAGUUCCCUGCCUGUCUGUCUCCUCCACACUCAAAUGUGUGUCCAGUCCCAUGAGUAACCACAGUAUUUUUAAACAGCAUCUUUGGGCCAGGCUCUCCUGUUUGUUUGUUGUUGUUUUUCAGAGGUGAUUCUAUGAGAAGCCGGGAUGGAGCUCUUGAUUGAUUGCUCACAAACAUCUGCAGGGAUGGCACGGGGAGAGGAGAGACUGGCAAGCUCGUAAUGCCACCCCCAAGGGGCCAAGACAAAGAACGAUGAGCAGAGAACGAGGAGGUCUUUCUCCCAGCUUUGCUGGCUUCGGGAGCACCAGACUUUACCACCUCCCGGUGGACGUAUCCGAGGGCAGCACAUCUGAAACGGCCCCCUCUGCAGAGGACCAGGUGCACCAGCCGGAAAGGCAGGCGACUUCCCCUGCAAAUAGAGGACAGAGGGGACACAGACUGAGCCCGGAGCCUCAGCUCUUGCGCUCAGCGUCCUGGAAAAGCUGCACAUGCUCUCCAAGCUUCUCUGUCUGCAGAGUGGUGGCUUUAAAUGAGCAGGCGUGAGAAAACAGAACCUGAAACUCAGUAAUGUUAGUUAUUCAGGGUUCAAGACAAGGCAGGGUGCCAGUGUCACAGCAAGUUUGAGAACGGUUGACGACCCUGGAGUAACAAGAGAGCAGGGUGUAUUUCUGCUUCCUUUCUACCACCUCCCCAAGGUUCCUUCAUUUCUUUAGAUGUCCCCAAGACAAUUCCCAUACUGCCUGCUAGUUUACAGACCUCAGAGGGCUGACGGCGG